rnacentral:rRNA from 1 species
AGAUUGAACGCUGGCGGCAUGCUUUACACAUGCAAGUCGAACGGUAACAGGCCGCAAGGUGCUGACGAGUGGCGAACGGGUGAGUAAUGCAUCGGAACGUGCCCAGUCGUGGGGGGAUAACGCAGCGAAAGCUGUGCUAAUACCGCAUACGAUCUAUGGAUGAAAGCGGGGGACCGAAAGGCCUCGCGCGAUUGGAGCGGCCGAUGUCAGAUUAGCUAGUUGGUGGGGUAAAGGCCCACCAAGGCGACGAUCUGUAGCUGGUCUGAGAGGACGACCAGCCACACUGGAACUGAGACACGGUCCAGACUCCUACGGGAGGCAGCAGUGGGAAUUUUGGACAAGUGGGCGCAAGCCUGAUCCAGCAAUGCCGCGUGACAAGGAAGAAGGCCGUUCGGUUAGUAAACGUGUCUUUUGUAACGGUAACGAAACCGGUACGUUAGGGUUAAUACCGUACGGACUAA